rnacentral:rRNA from 1 species
ACGUAGGAUCCAAGCGUUGUCCGGAUUUACUGGGUGUAAAGGGUGCGCAGGCGGAUUAGUAAGUCAGAGGUGAAAUCUCGUCGCUCAACGACGAAACUGCCUUUGAUACUAUUAAUCUUGAGUACGGUAGAGAUUUGUGGAAUUCCGAGUGUAGCAGUGAAAUGUGUAGAUAUUCGGAAGAACACCAGAGGCGAAGGCAGCAAAUUGGGCCGAUACUGACGCUCAGGCACGAAAGCAUGGGGAUCAAACAGGAUUAGAUACCCUGGUAGUCCAUGCCCUAAACGAUGUACACUUGAUAUCUGCCCUCAGGGUAGGUGUCGUAGCUAACGCGUUAAGUGUACCACCUGGGGAGUACGCUCGCAAGGGUG